rnacentral:lncRNA from 1 species
UUACACUUUGUUAAUGUUUAUGUACUUAUUAUUUACUUUCAAUAUAUGCUUGCAAAACGUCUAAAAAUAUGUAGCGCCACAAGUGAAUAUAGUCAGCACUUUGAGGGUUAAACUUUAAAAAUAUUUAAAUUGGUUUUUCAGAAAAAGAGUAAAACAUGUUUAGAUGAGUUUUUAUCAUAUCUUUAAAAUGAGACAAAAAAUAUAAUUUCUUUGGUCUUAUAAUUCUAAGACCACAUAUAAGGGUAUAAACGUGUUUAAAGUUUAACAUUGUUCAUAUCGGAUAAACUCAAUAUGGUUUCUCCACAGCUCUGAGAUAUGGACUUUCAGAUUAUAAACUAUCAACUCAAUUCUUCGCUUUUUGCUAACGAUCGAUUCUCGUUUAUUGUAAUGGAAACUUAGGAGAGUCCUGAAUAAGUUAGAGCAGGCAGCUUCAGCACAAUUGCUAACUAAUUCAGCUAAGUGAAGCAUUUUACACCUUAUUUGGGAUGGCAAAAUGAAGAAAACCACUCAAAUCAAUCUGCAUACAUCAUUUAUGAUAAUACUCGACAAGGUACAGUACCAUAUUUUGCCAUAUACCUAUCUGACCUUGCACAAAAAUCAGUUUUAAUUAACAAAAACUUUAAAGAAAAUGUUUGUAAUUUACUUUGUAUUGCACUGGAACUAAUUUACUGAGCAGGUAAACGUUCUUUGUAUUGUACUGGAGCAAACCAAAGGUUUUAGGGUGCUGCAAAGGACUGAUGAUGACAACAGUUUGUUUUGGAUUAGUACAUAUGUAAAUCAAUGUUUGUGCUGCCUAACAAUUUUAUAAUAGGAGUCACAUAUGGAUAAUGCUUUUUAAAAUUUAAACUGUUAUUAAAAUCAUGUAUGGAUAGUUCCUUUAUUCUAACCUGGUUUAGUGGUAGUGGUUUAGGACCUGAUAGAGGUUUUAAUGCAUUCAAAAGCGCCUUCGAUAAAAUUCCUUUUUUAAGUAAAUUUGAAUAGCAGAAGAACAUAAUGUAUUAAAUUUAAAUCAUGUGUUGUAUCAGUUAAACAUCACUGUACAGUAAUUGAUUCAUGUUGUAUUACAUAAAUCAAUGUUUGUAGGGAAAUGUUCAAAUGUUUACAAAUUAAGACACAAUACAGUGUUUACAAUACUACUGCUAUAUUUCAUAAAGAAUGUAACAAAACACAGAGAAUGAAACAAGACAGUGCACCAAAAUGGAUUCCGUUAAUAACUACUCACACAAAUAUAAAAAUAAGGAUUUCCUACACACGUACAAAAAUACGAUAUAUUACUCAAAACAUUUUCAAAGUUUUUUUCUUGGACUUUCGUCAACGUAACACUAAUAAAGGUUUGAUUAUUUUAGUAGGCUUUACAAUGAGAUUCUUGAGUAAAAUAUCUGUGAUUUUUGGAAGACUUUACAAUGUAUAAUACUUCUGUUCAUUUCUUACACAAAUGCAUUACAGUCACAAAUGUUACAUUUUUUGCAAACAGCAAAAUGCCAUUUUAAAAAAGCUGGAUCCUGUGUGCUUAGUGUAGAGGGAGAAGAUUUGGGAGACAGAAAUCCCGCAAGGGUAAAAAAGUUAAAAAGAUUUGUAUAACAGCAAUUCAAAUUGUUUGAAAUACUUUGGUUAAAUUAGGGCUAUUUUAUUUAUUCAAAUUUAGAUUCAUUAAAAUCUUUUUCCAUACCGCCGGUGUGGUGUGCUCUUUACCAGAUUCUCCCCCCAAGGACAAAUCCUAGCUACGCUACUGUGAGUAAUUUCAUCGGGUGUUCAUCAUAAGAUGGCCGUAUGUAUACAAAUUUGGUAUUAUUAUCACUUAUUUCUGUCUGCAUAUAAUCAGAAACAAUAAGAAUUGUAGUCUUACACCUAGAAAAACAAAUGUACGUUGCAACAACAGCUACCACACAAGAGGGAGCAGAAAUGUCAAAUGAUAGCACCAUUUUGGCAGAAUUUCCUAACGCCAUUUUGAAAUCGUUUGAGUUAAGUCUUGAGCAAUCUAAGAGACAUUCCAAUUAUCAAUGGCUUAUCUCCAUCUUACUUUGGUUUUGUGUUUACAUAACUGCCAAGACAUUUUGGGACAUAACCUUUGCUUGUUAUGUUACACAAAAGUACUGGAGGAACCUGUAUUUGUACCAGUACUUCAAUACAUGUACCAGCAGGGAGGUUAUACCACCACUGAUUUAUUGCAGUAUUCUUUCACAAUGAAUACUUAUAGUGCAAAUAGUUGUAAAAUAUGAUUUUUGUAUACUGAUUAACUAUUUUAAAAUGGUUUAGAUUUGAAUUGAACAAUGUUACACUAAUGUUACAAACUAAAUAUUUAUUAUUAUUAAAAAAUAUCCACAAUUUAUUAACUUUAACAGGUUGAUACAUUUGAUAAUAUAAAUUAUACAGCCAAUAAGAACAAACCAUUUGAAUGAAUAGGACUAGCUAAGCUUUUUAUACCCCAACUGCUUUAAUAAUGAGUUCUUUAAUUUCAAAUCUGUUGAAGAAGAAGGAUCGUGAAAAAAUCUUGUAUUUUUUUUAUUUGCUUUGUAAAAUAUUAUUUCAUCCAUAAAAAUACAUAAAAUUUGUAUUUACUGUAGUUCUACCUGUUCAUCUUAAAAGCUCAAUACGAUUAUUGAAAAAAUUGAACUGCACGUUAAAUACAAAAUAUUUUGAUAAAAUUUCAGUCAUCAAAGUUUUGGAAUCCCAUAAAUUAUUUUGCUAAUUUAUGAGUUAAUAAAAUCCUAGAACAACACACAAUCUGUCUUCAUUAUCUGUUCCCUACACACAUACACAAAAUAAUUUUGCAAAUAUAUAACUUUAAUAUCUCUUUUCUGUACGUCUUUUUAUAAGAGUGAUUUUUCUACAGUUCAAUUUCUAAUUUGGUAUAGACCAACCUUACCACUCCAAUAAUUUGAAUGAUUCUGUGAAAAAUAUUUUUUUACUGUUAUAUACACUAUAAUAUACAACCUAGCAGAAUAUGUUUGCUACUUUGUUUAUGUAAAGAAAUUUUUAAAAUAGAAAAAAAAAACAAUCUGUUUUGAUUAUUAACAUCACAUAAGAAAUGAAUAAUGAAUAUCAUUAAUGACAUCAAAUGACGUUUUGGUGCCAGAAUCAUAAUUUGAUGUUAUAAUAAUAGUGUGUUAUAUAAAGGACGUAAAGAACAUUUGCAAGAAGUUUAAACAAAUGAAUGCUGCCUCUAUCAAUCACAGCAAACUUUAUCCUUAAUCUUCACAAGCUGGUCGAUAAAAAGCACAGUUUUUGGGAUAGAUACGAUGUUAGAGAUUUUUACUUAGAAAAGAGAAUUACGAACCAAUGGAUAUUUUUUAGACUUAAUUGCAACAGUAAUUUUAAAGAAACCUACACAAGACUCAGUAGUGGCAUGACCUUCCUGCUGACAUAGCAAUAACAGUAACUCUCGUAAGUAACAGUACGAGAGUCGAAAAAUGAUACUGUAUUCACACUUAGGACCCCCUUUAAGAACCACAAAGGAAUUAUUUCUAAACAAACACAGAAAAGUAACCACAUAAAAACUAAUGUUUUGGUAGGGUUAAUAGGUGAAAACUGUAUUAAAUUUAAGAUUGUGGAAAGCAAAGUAGAGGGCACAUUUUUUAUUUUAAUUCUCAUUUAUUAUUAAAGAUGAAUGUUACAAUUGAAUACUUUCCCAAUUUAGUCAUUUUGUUUCAUGUAAAUCUGUAUCAA